rnacentral:rRNA from 1 species
UACGUAGGGAGCAAGCGUUGUCCGGAUUGACUGGGCGUAAAGCGCACGCAGGCGGUUGCGCGCGUGGGGUGUGAAAUCUGGCCGCUUAACGGCCAGGCGCCAUCCCAUACGGCGCGACUGGAGUGAUGCAGAGGUCGAUGGAAUUGCCGGUGUAGUGGUGAAAUGCGUAGAUAUCGGGAGGAACACCUGAGGCGAAGGCGGGCUACUGGGCCGAUACUGACGCUGAUGCGCGAAAGCCAGGGGAGCAAACGGG